AGGCCUUUCUGCUUUCCGUAGUUUAACCCCCCCCAAAACUACUACCAAAUAUGUUCUCAUCUAUCUGUGCUACUACUGUAGCCACUUUCUGGUUACUUUAUCUAGCUAGCAAGUAUUUUAUGUGAAAUGGGAUGAAGUUUUCUGAAGAGAGAAAAGCUGCCCAUUGAAACUGGAUGAGAAAUUGACAAAAUGAACUGGAUGCCCUUCAAGAUUGGACAACCAAAAAAGCAGAUUGUUUCCAAAACGGUUGAAAGAGACUUUGAACAAGAAUAUAAGAAGCUCCAAAAAAUUUGGCAGUACGUUAAACCGGCUUCACAACCGCAGACCACGUGUAGCUACGCCAGCCCAGAACCUCCACAUCUGGCUUCUUCACCUGCGGGAUCGUCUGAGACCAGCCACACGGACAGCUAAUGAAACUGGGUUUGCACACCCCAAAAAUUUCUGCACAAACUGUCAGGGAAGCUCAUCUGCGUGCUCGUCGUCCUCACCAGAGUCUUGACUUAACUGCAGUUCAUCGUCGUAUCCGACUUCAUUGGAGUUGUGCUAUUUACGGAUUAAUCCCGGUUUCAAAUGUAUUGUGCAGAUGUCAACGUUGUGAACAGAGUGCCCCAUGGUGGCGGUGGGGUUAUGGUAUGGGCAGGCAUAAGCUACAGACAACGAACACAAUCGCAUUUUAUCGAUGGAAAUUUGAAUGCACAGAGACCAGAUCCAGAAACCCAUUGUGGUGGCAUUCAUCCGCUGCCAUCACCUCAUGUUUCAGCAUGAUAAUGCACGGCCCCAUGUCUCAAGGAUCAGUACACAACUUCUGGAAGCUGAAGAUGUCCCAGUUCUUCCAUGGCCUGCAUACUCACCAGAUAUGUCACCCAUUAAGCAUAUUUGGGAUACUCUGGAUCUACGUGUAUGACAGCGUGUUCCAGUUCCCGCUAUUAUCCAGCAACUUCGCUCAGCCAUUGAAGAAGAGUGGGACAACAUUCCACAAUCAACAGCCUGAUCAACUCUAUGUGAAGGAUAUGUGUCACGCUACAUGAGGCAAAUAGUGGUCAUAUCAGAUACUGACUGGUUUUCUGAUCCAUGCCCCUAUUUUUUUUUUUUAAGUUAGGUGACCAACAGAUGCAUAUCUGUAUUCCCAGUCAUGUGAAAGCCAUAGAUUAGGGCCUAAUGAAUUGAUUUAAAUUAACUGAUUUCCUUAUAUGAACUGUAGCUCAGUAAAAUCUUUGACAUUGUUGCAUGUUGCGUUUAUCUUUUUCUUCAGUGUAGAUGGUUUGUGUGAAACGAGGGAGAGAAGCAUUCUCUUGCCCAAGACUUUCUGUGAGCUAGCACAUAGGAGGCCCUCCCCUGUUGUGUGUUAGAGGUUAAAGAGACUCCCCGAGGGGCCUGCAGACUGAGUGAGAGCACUUCACAUUUAGGUUUUGUUGAGUAGGAGACAUGGCACCACAAUACACAUUUCUUACACAUGAUGAGUAAGAGGAGCAGGCAUGUACAGACGUCUUAGCACUCCCCUCUGUUACAUAUCGUUAACUCUUAGUGAACAUAAAUCUGCCAUCUAGCUCUUUGAACUGUUGUUGAAUUCAAUAAUCUAUUAAUUUGUGUGGAAAUAUACCGUGUCAUUUGAAAGACAGGUCGGGUCAAAUUUAGCAAAUUAUUUCAUCAUCCAAUGCCUUCCACAGUAAGUCUAGCAUCUAUAAUCCCAUAGCAGUAUUUGUCUACCUGAGAUCAGCUUCUAAAUCCAUACUCCUACGGCAUUAUACCGCAGCAUCUGGGAGUGUAGAGAGGCUGGCUGUUGGCGGCAGUAAAGGGCAAACUGUUGGGGCACACAGGAGCGAGGAGUAGCAGCUGCUCCAGCAGGCCUCCAUUAACACCUUGUAGAAAUGGACUUCUGGCCCACAUCCAGAAGAGCCCUCCUCAGCCCUCGCAUUCUCCUGCCUCCCGUCAGUUCAUACAGAUUGGAGAAUGAAGAUGGAAAUAGGAAAACUGUUGUUUUUUCAGUCCCCUUCUCCUCCCCCCUCCCUUAAUGAAACCCUGAAAACUGAUGUGACAGCAUUCUCCUGGGAGUUGCUAAACAGCCCCUCGUUUCCCUUAAUUGAUAUAAUGAACGGCACACAAUUCAGCCUCCAUAGUUUCGUAAUUGCCAUUUUAACACCCAUCAUUUAAAUGAAUGCGGAGGGAUGAUUGAAGACAUAAAUGCUUUUAUGCCAGAAUUUAGUUGACAGUAACAAAAAGCAAUCCUAGUAUUUUUAAUUAGCAAAAGGGAAGUCAUAAUAAUGUGUUUUAUAUUAAAUCAAUGCAUUUUUGUAAUCCUAUUGAAUGUCCCAGUCCAUAGUGACUUGUAGGUGUUUAUUUGUAACAUGCAGGCUGGACUGAGAUAUCCCAUUAAGACUGUGUCAGUGAAUGCUUUAUAGAGAUUAGAGGGGUUUGAUCAGGAUGAACACAGUCCACCCUUUUUCAGUACUCUCCCUGCUGAAUGUAAAAACAUGAUCCUACCGUCAAUUUGCUCUGUUGAUGCCCAACUGUACUUGGACAUAAGCUUUCCAAAUGUCAUAUGUUAUAUUAUUGUGAUAUCCAAGGUACACCUGAAAAAAAACAAAAUCCC